rnacentral:lncRNA from 1 species
UGGGGUAUGAGUUUUGGCAGAAGGUGGACUAGCUGAAGAAGAAGAAGAAGGUUUUAGAUUUUCAUUUGACACAUUUUUAUCCUCUUCUUCACCUUCCUUAUUGUUGUCCUCCCCAAUCUUAUUGUCUACUACAUGUCCACUCCUUAGGGUAGUCAAAGCAUUGGCUUGUUCAUGAUGAAUUGCAUUUAAUUGAUUUUCUUGAGCCAUGUAUUGUCCCCUAGGAUUACUUAGUGGUUGGCUUGGAAGCUUUCCUUCCUCUCGCUU